CAGUUAAUAGUUUAUUAAAAUUUAAGUUUUGGGGAUUUAAGAUGUAUAAUUAUAUACUUUACUGA
rnacentral:tRNA from 1 species